UGUCCGAGGCCAGGUGCAAGAACAGCAGUGAGGAGGAAAAGCGAUGCUGCAUUUCACCGGAUUAUCACGUUCUGCAGGUUCCGGGGAAGAUGAGCUAAAGCACGUCAGCUGGAGAGAUCAGUGAAGCAGCAGAAGCUAGACGACGUACUGUACCCGAGAACCUCCCCGUUUAUCAUCUACAGACAGAUAUGGAUGAGGGAGAAGGUCAUCAUGACUCGCCCUGCACAGGCUGAUCAGUGAAAAUCAGAUCAAUCGUUAAGGGCAGUAAAGUUAGUAACUGAGUUGAGUGAAGGAAAUGGUCAACAGAUAUCAGUCACCAGUAGUUUGCGCUUCACACAUCCUUGGGGAAUGUGUUUGAGAGCCACCUUAAAGAUAGAAAACACAGGUAAUAUUCUGAGGAGACUGUGUGUGUGUGUGUGUGUGUGUGUGUGUGUGUGUGUGUGUGUGUGUGUGUGUCUGCAAGAGUGUGUGCACAAGUCUUACAGGUAACUUGUCCGACAUCUGGAAGCCAGCAAACACUGAACCGAAGCCUCCUUCACCGAGUAGCUCCAGCUCCUCAUAUUUGUCUUCAAAAUAAAAAAGCUACAUACA